rnacentral:misc_RNA from 1 species
UUAAACUAUUUUAUAAAUAGUAAAAUUCAGACAAAAAUUCAAGAGUUUUUAAAUUUCCUCUGGCAGGUUAACACACUAGCCCUUAAAGCCAAUGGAAAGCAAAAAAAAAAUUUUUUGCUUUACGACCCGCCAAAGCAACAAAAAUUUAAGUAUAAACAUAGGGUUUGAGGUCUACCCCAUUUUUUUUUUAAAAAAAAAAGGGCAUAAAACUCUGUUAAUGAUCCUUCCGCAGGUUCACCUACGGAAA